CCUACGGGAGGCAGCAGUGGGGAAUAUUGGGCAAUGGACGCAACUCUGACCCAGCAACGCCGCGUGAGUGAUGAAGGUCUUCGGAUUGUAAAACUCUUUAAGUCGGGACGAAGAAACUGAGUGUUCCCCCAGAAUAAGUCUCCGCUAACUACGAGCAAGCAGCCGCGGUAAUACGUAGGAGGCAAGCGUUAUCCGGAAUGACUGGGCGUAAAGGUUGCGUAGGUGGUUUGACAAGCUAGUAGCGUAAUUCCGGGGCUCAACUUCGGAUCUACUACUGAAACUGGUGGGCUUGAGUGGAGGAGAGGUUAAUGGAAUUCCAGGUGUAGCGGUGGAAUGCGUAGAUAUUAGGAGGAACACCAGUGGCGAAGGCGAUUGUCUGGAACAUAACUGACGCUGAGGAACGAAAGCGUGGGUAGCAAACAGGAUUAGAUACCCGAGUAGUC
rnacentral:rRNA from 1 species